AGCGAACGCUGGCGGCAGGCUUAACACAUGCAAGUCGAGCGCCCCGCAAGGGGAGCGGCAGACGGGAGAGUAACACGUGGGAACAUACCUUUUGGUUCGGAACAACUGAGGGAAACUUCAGCUAAUACCGGAUAAGCCCUUACGGGGAAAGAUUUAUCGCCGAAAGAUUGGCCCGCGUCUGAUUAGCUAGUUGGUGAGGUAACGGCUCACCAAGGCGACGAUCAGUAGCUGGUCUGAGAGGAUGAUCAGCCUCACUGGGACUGAGACACGGCCCAGACUCCUACGGGAGGCAGCAGUGGGGAAUAUUGGACAAUGGGGGCAACCCUGAUCCAGCCAUGCCGCGUGAGUGAUGAAGGCCUUAGGGUUGCAAAGCUCUUUUGCCCGGGAAGAUAAUGACGGUACCGGGAGAAUAAGCCCCGGCUAACUUCGUG
rnacentral:rRNA from 1 species